GACGGAGGGUGCAAGCGUUGUUCGGAAUUACUGGGCGUAAAGCGUACGUAGGCGGUUGAUUAAGUCAAAUGUAAAAGCCCGGGGCUCAACCCCGUGGUCGCACUUGAUACUGGUCGACUAGAGGGCGAUAGAGGAAAGCGGAAUUCCGAGUGUAGCGGUGAAAUGCGUAGAUAUUCGGAGGAACAUCGGUAGCGAAAGCGGCUUUCUGGGUCGCUCCUGACGCUGAGGUACGAAAGCGUGGGUAGCAAAC
rnacentral:rRNA from 1 species